AAUCAUCACGAGGCUGAAGGGAUGAUUUUUCCUUGCUGAUAUCCGGUCGGUGUUCCAGAAGGGCCGUGCAUAAACUCUACUCUGUUAUCCCACAUUCGCCUUGACAGAGGAGGAGGACUAAUAGCAAAUUGCCACUUUUUAGAAGAGAACCGAAUUAAACUUUGCAAAUGUUAAAAGCUUGUAUAUUUUUAAAACUUCAAGCACAAGCAUAAAACCCCAUUGCCUCAAAACCACAGUUGACAAAACCACCAUUGACAAAGAAUUCCUCCACAUGCCGUGAAAAUCUGACAUAACACAGCGAUCGUCCAGAACACCGUGUUAGGUCAUUACCCAGACGCCGGCAGAGUGAGGACUUCCACCACAGCUCCUUUUUGAUGAGGGAAAACAGAUUUUUAAAUGAAGCCUACAGCCUAAGUGUAGAAAACUUAAAGCUGUAGACAAUCAGGAUUGUCAUUUAAAAGGAUGAACUUUAUUUCUUCUGAGGUAAAGUGAUGAGCCCAGGCAAAGCGCUCCCUCUAUCAGAUAUGAUUUGAAACAGCUGAAAAAUAAACUCCUGACAAUAAGGUUUUAGGACAGAAACACUGCCAGAGCUCCAAGUGCUGUGUAGAAUAAUAAAAGGAAAGUAAACAAUGCCAGAACAAAAGGAAACUUCUUAACUUCGUUUGUUCUCGUCAAAUACCAUAGAAAAAUAAUCCGUGCUUAGGCAAUUCUUCCAGGGUCCAAAUUCCUGCCUUGUGCUCAUCUCUGUUUAAGUUCAGAGCUCUUCAAGCUGUCAUUAAAUCGCUUGCACUGGUGACACGGCCAAGAGGGUUUCCAAUCUCAGGCCAGCGAGAGCCUCAAGGCGGAUUCUGAAGGCUUGGUCUUCUGGGCUCUUCCUCUCACUAUCGUGACAUUGCCUGGCAGAAAUGUGACCCCUAUGGGAGGCCAAGUCUGUGGGUAGAAUUCUCGGGCCUUCAGCGACUUCCGUCAGCCAAGCCAAUGGCCUGAAGCCGAAGGAAAGGUUCCAUGGCCUGAGCGACCCCAACCAAGUUUCACUUGUCUCUGAACUUCUGAAUGUGGCUCUACUGCUAAUGUCAGCACGGCGAAGGUAAGAGGGGACCACUGGUCCUCGCUGCAAUUUCCACCCAUGGAAAAUGUUUCUGGCCUCUAGUGGGUUACAGCCCAGAUGAGU
rnacentral:lncRNA from 12 species